ACACAGCCUGCCACUUUCUAUUUGUGUAAUCUUGGUCUAUGACCUUUAAACCUCAGUAUUCUCUACGAAUUGGAGAGAGCAGUAUCUACUUUGCAGCGUGUUUGUAAACGGAGAUAUCCAGAAGCCGACCUCUUUCCACUGCCUCCACUGUUACCACCCUGGUCCAGCCACAAACACCUGGAGCCUGGAUGACUGCAAUGGCCUCGUACCUGGUUCCUCUGCUUCCCUCCUGCCCUGCUUAUGUUCUACUCUCAAUACAGCCACCUGUGUAAUUUCAUUAGAAGAUGCUCAACCAGAUUUUUCAUUUGAAGUGUGCCUCAUUGCUGCUCAAACUGGAGGCAGAGUCAGCACCAGAAACUCCAAGCAAAGCACAAGCGGAGAGCUGGAAGGACUUUAGAGUCAAUUUGCCUUAGUGUCUAGUCGGGCUCCAGGGCAUUUACAGGAGAUGGAAGGCAGGGAAUUCACCUUUAUUGAGUGCCUGUUAGGUGCUAGGACCCGUGCUGGGUAUUUUCACCUUUAUUAGUUCAUUUUAUCCUCACAAUGACCUUGGGCAGUAGGUAUGAUUCAUCAUAUUGGCCUUUUCUCCUUCUUUCAGUCAGCUUGCUUUCUCACUCCUGCUUCUUGGAAUCACCUCCCAAAUAAACUAACUGCCCUCGAGUCCUUGUCUCGGACUCUGAUUUGGGGGGAAUCCAAACCAAAAUACUUGGGUUUUUGGUAGAAUGGAAAUGAGGGCCAUCUUGUGUGCUGAUUAGUGAGAGAGAUGGUUAUUGCUGUGAGAUCUGUAAGAAAAUAGACUAAACCAGAGAGAGACCCUGAAGCAGAGUAAACAAUCCCAAGGAAGGAGCUCUGUUAAGAAAAUUUCCCUUAAGUAGAGCUUUCUUUGAGAAAAUCUAUGCAAAGUGUUUCAUUCAGUAUGCCUGGAAGAAAAGACAUCAAAACAUUAACUGUUUUUCUCUUCUGAAUUAACCUUCAGUUGAAGUUCCCCUGAUCUGACUCACUUCUCUUUCUGGAUCAGUCUUGACUGCCCCCUGGGGAAUCUCAAUUUCUGUCACUGAAAUAAUGACGUUUUCUUCCCCUGCUCCUCGCACCCCUUAGAAGACACUCAGCUGUCAUUGUCUACCUGGAAAGUAACACAGCAUGUUAGUUAAAAUAAGUUGUGGGCAAGAGUCAGCUCGAGUUCUAGUCAGCUGGGUGACUUGGUCUAGCAGUCAGGCUUUGCUGCAGGAACAAACCUCC